GAGGUGGUCAGGUAGAGAAUACUAAGGCGAUCGAGAGAACUGUGGUUAAGGAACUCGGCAAAAUGCCCCCGUAACUUCGGGAGAAGGGGGACCAGUCCUGGUGACGACAUUUACUGUCUGAGCUGGGGUUGGUCGCAGAGACCAGAGAGAAGCGACUGUUUACUAAAAACACAGGUCCGUGCGAAGUCGUAAGACGAUGUAUACGGACUGACGCCUGCCCGGUGCUGGAAGGUUAAGAGGACCGGUCAGCCACUUCGGUGGCGAAGCUGAGAAUUUAAGCCCCAGUAAACGGCGGUGGUAACUAUAACCAUCCUAAGGUAGCGAAAUUCCUUGUCGGGUAAGUUCCGACCUGCACGAAUGGCGUAACGACUUCUCUGCUGUCUCAACCACAGACUCGGCGAAAUUGCAGUACGAGUAAAGAUGCUCGUUACGCGCGGCAGGACGAAAAGACCCCGGGACCUUCACUAUAGCUUGGUAUUGGUGUUCGGUUCGGUUUGUGUAGGAUAGGUGGGAGACUGUGAAACUCGCACGCCAGUGUGGGUGGAGUCAUUGUUGAAAUACCACUCUGACCGUAUUGGACAUCUAACCUCGGACCAUGAUCUGGUUCAGGGACAGUGCCUGGUGGGUAGUUUAACUGGGGCGGUUGCCUCCCAAAAAGUAACGGAGGCGCCCAAAGGUUCCCUCAGCCUGGUUGGCAAUCAGGUGUUGAGUGUAAGUGCACAAGGGAGCUUGACUGUGAGACGUACAUGUCGAGCAGGGACGAAAGUCGGGACUAGUGAUCCGGCACCGGCAAGUGGAAGCGGUGUCGCUCAACGGAUAAAAGGUACCCCGGGGAUAACAGGCUGAUCUUCCCCAAGAGUCCAUAUCGACGGGAUGGUUUGGCACCUCGAUGUCGGCUCGUCGCAUCCUGGGGCUGGAGUAGGUCCCAAGGGUUGGGCUGUUCGCCCAUUAAAGCGGCACGCGAGCUGGGUUUAGAACGUCGUGAGACAGUUCGGUCUCUAUCCGCCGCGCGCGUAAGAAACUUGAGGAAACCUGUCCCUAGUACGAGAGGACCGGGACGGACGAACCUCUGGUGUGCCAGUUGUUCCACCAGGAGCACCGCUGGUUAGCUACGUUCGGAAGGGAUAACCGCUGAAAGCAUCUAAGCGGGAAGCCUGUUCCAAGAUGAGGUUUCUCACCUCCUAGCGUGGUUAAGGCCCCCCACAGACCAUGGGGUUGAUAGGCCAGAACUGUAAGCACAGCAAUGUGUUCAGGUGACUGGUACUAAUCGGCCGAGGACUUACAACU
rnacentral:rRNA from 1 species